UUGAAUGUUCUUCGUGAACAUGGCGGACUGCUCAGUAACACGUGGACAACCUACCCUUGGAUCUGGGAUAAACCCGGGAAACUGGGCAUAAUACCGGAUAAGCCACAUAUGCUGGAAUGCUUUGUGGCUCAAAGCUCCGGCGUCCAAGGAUGGGUCUGCGGCCUAUCAGGGUAGUAGUGGGUGUAAUGUACCUACUAGCCUACGACGGGUACGGGUUGUGAGAGCAAGAGCCCGGAGGUGGAUUCUGAGACACGAAUCCAGGCCCUACGGGGUGCAGCAGGCGCGAAAACUUUACAAUGCGGGAAACCGCGAUAAGGGAAUCUCGAGUGCCAGCAUAUAAUGUUGGCUGUCCAGAUGCCUAAAAAGCAUUUGUUAGCAAGGGCCGGGCAAGACCGGUGCCAGCCGCCGCGGUAACACCGGCGGCCCGAGUGGUAACCGUUAUUAUUGGGUCUAAAGGGUCUGUAGCCGGCCGAAUAAGUCUCUUGGGAAAUCUGGCAGCUUAACUGUCAGGCAGUCAGGGGAUACUGUUCGGCUUGGGACCGGGAGAGGUGAGAGGUACCUCGGGGGUAGGGGUGAAAUCUUGUGAUCCUCGAGGGACCACCAGUGGCGAAGGCGUCUCACCAGAACGGGUCCGACGGUAAGGGACGAAAGCUAGGGGCACGAACCGGAUUAGAUACCCGGGUAGUCCUAGCCGUAAACGAUGCUUGCUAGGUGUCAGCCACGGUGCGACCGCGGUUGGUGCCGUAGGGAAGCCGUGAAGCGAGCCACCUGGGAAGUACGGCCGC
rnacentral:rRNA from 1 species